rnacentral:rRNA from 1 species
UACGUAGGGUGCGAGCGUUGUCCGGAAUUAUUGGGCGUAAAGAGCUUGUAGGCGGUUUGUCGCGUCUGCUGUGAAAAUCCGGGGCUCAACUCCGGACUUGCAGUGGGUACGGGCAGGCUAGAGUGUGGUAGGGGAGACGUGGAAUUCCUGGUGUAGCGGUGGAAUGCGCAGAUAUCAGGAGGAACACCGAUGGCGAAGGCAGGUCUCUGGGCCACUACUGACGCUGAGAAGCGAAAGCAUGGGGAGCGAACAGG